AUUUCAAGUAUUUUUUGAACAGCAACACACAUUCAUAUGCAUAAGUGCCUCCUAGGUGCAUAAUAGAUAUAUACUGCUAGGAUUCUACGCAACACUUGGAACCACUAAAGACCCUCUUUAGAGGCAUAAGACCACAGUCUGCUAUUCCACAAAAUGGCAAAUAGCUACUGGACUAUCUCUAGUCCCAUCUCUCUAUUAUAAAAAAAAAUCCUGGGACAGAAAGACUAGGGAGACGAGACGUGAUCUUCAUGUAAAGAUCACGGAAGACACUUAAAAGACCCGUGAGACGAAAGGCCACGGAGCGUCUCAUGGGGACCUUAAACAUGUGACUUUGUGCCAAGAGACUGAUCCAGGACCGUCUUGUGGGGACGUAGAACAUGAGAUUCUUGCAAGACACGCCCUACUUACAACCAAUAUCAAAUAAGACCACGGGCAGCAAAACACUCAGUCGUGUAAAGGCUUUGAGCACACACAGAUCCAGGGCUCUCAGCACAUAUAAAGCAUACAAGGACAAUACGUAAUAGAUGAAACAUAGACGACUAAGCGAAGAAGAAAGCAGCGCGGAGAAAAGAGACUCAAAAGCGUUGGAGAGACAAAAAAGAAAAAGAAUAAUCUAGGUGCAAAUUCAGGAAAUAAGGAAAGUAAUUAUCAGCCCGGAACAAGUGGAAUUCAAAAAAAGCACGUCCAAUCUGGACGUUGGCCCUAUACACAUGCAGAGCAGGUUAGAGAUUAUGAAAGCAAUGCAAUUCGAAAGGCUCAAAAAAAAAACGUUGGCGUGAUACACAUGUGGAGAAAGUUAAAGAUAUGAAAGUAGGAAAAUUAGAAAGUAUAAAAAAAAAGUAAGUAAAGAUCGCAGUAGCACAAACAAACGGAAAUUAUUACUCGGAAAAAGGGAAAAUAAUCACCACGGACCAGGUGUCAUUGAAACAAAA